GAUGAACGCUGGCGGCGUGCCUAAUACAUGCAAGUCGAGCGAACAGAUGAGGAGCUUGCUCCUCUGACGUUAGCGGCGGACGGGUGAGUAACACGUGGAUAACCUACCUAUAAGACUGGGAUAACUUCGGGAAACCGGCGCUAAUACCGGAUAAUAUAUUGAACCGCAUGGUUCAAUAGUGAAAGACGGUUUUGCUGUCACUUAUAGAUGGAUCCGCGCCGCAUUAGCUGGUUGGUAAGGUAACGGCUUACCAAGGCGACGAGGCGUAGCCGACGUGAGGGGGUGAUCGGCCACACUGGAACGGAGACGCGGUCCAGACUCCUACGGGAGGCAGCAGUAGGGAAUCUUCCGCAAUGGGCGAAAGCCUGACGGAGCAACGCCGCGUGAGUGAUGAAGGUCUUCGGAUCGUAAAGCUCUGUUAUGAGGGAAGAACAAAUGUGUAAGUAACUAUGCACGUCUUGACGGUACCUAAUCAGAAAGCCACGGCUAACUACGUG
rnacentral:rRNA from 1 species